GACGAACCGUGCGAACGUUAUUCGGAAUCACUGGGCUUAAAGCGCGUGUAGGCGGGAGGGCACGUCCGUCGCUGAAAUCCCCCGGCUCAACCGGGGAAGGGGCGCCGAUACGACCGCCCUGGAGGGACGUAGGGGGGCUGGAACUUCCGGUGGAGCGGUGAAAUGCGUUGAGAUCGGAAGGAACGCCCGUGGCGAAAGCGAGCCCCUGGACGUCUACUGACGCUGAGACGGCGAAAAGCCAGGGGAGCGAACGGG
rnacentral:rRNA from 1 species